GACGAACGCUGGCGGCGUGCUUAACACAUGCAAGUCGAACGAAAAGAGGGAAAGAGCUUGCUCUUUCCGGAAUUGAGUGGCAAACGGGUGAGUAACACGUAAACAACCUGCCUUCAGGAUGGGGACAACAGACGGAAACGACUGCUAAUACCGAAUAAGUUCCAAGGGCCGCAUGGCCCAUGGAAGAAAAGGUGGCCUCUACCUGUAAGCUAUCGCCUGAAGAGGGGUUUGCGUCUGAUUAGCUGGUUGGAGGGGUAACGGCCCACCAAGGCGACGAUCAGUAGCCGGUCUGAGAGGAUGAACGGCCACACUGGAAUUGAGACACGGUCCAGACUCCUACGGGAGGCAGCAGUGGGGAAUCUUCCGCAAUGGGCGAAAGCCUGACGGAGCAACGCCGCGUGAGUGACGACGGCCUUCGGGUUGUAAAACUCUGUGAUCCGGGACGAAAAGGCAGAGUGCGAAGAACAAACUGCAUUGACGGUACCGGAAAAGCAAGCCACGGCUAACUACGUG
rnacentral:rRNA from 1 species